UGGCGGCGUGCCUAAUACAUGCAAGUCGAACGCUUCUUUCCUCCCGAGUGCUUGCACUCAAUUGGAAAGAGGAGUGGCGGACGGGUGAGUAACACGUGGGUAACCUACCCAUCAGAGGGGGAUAACACUUGGAAACAGGUGCUAAUACCGCAUAACAGUUUAUGCCGCAUGGCAUAAGAGUGAAAGGCGCUUUCGGGUGUCGCUGAUGGAUGGACCCGCGGUGCAUUAGCUAGUUGGUGAGGUAACGGCUCACCAAGGCCACGAUGCAUAGCCGACCUGAGAGGGUGAUCGGCCACACUGGGACUGAGACACGGCCCAGACUCCUACGGGAGGCAGCAGUAGGGAAUCUUCGGCAAUGGACGAAAGUCUGACCGAGCAACGCCGCGUGAGUGAAGAAGGUUUUCGGAUCGUAAAACUCUGUUGUUAGAGAAGAACAAGGACGUUAGUAACUGAACGUCCCCUGACGGUAUCUAACCAGAAAGCCACGGCUAACUACGUGCCAGCAGCCGCGGUAAUACGUAGGUGGCAAGCGUUGUCCGGAUUUAUUGGGCGUAAAGCGAGCGCAGGCGGUUUCUUAAGUCUGAUGUGAAAGCCCCCGGCUCAACCGGGGAGGGUCAUUGGAAACUGGGAGACUUGAGUGCAGAAGAGGAGAGUGGAAUUCCAUGUGUAGCGGUGAAAUGCGUAGAUAUAUGGAGGAACACCAGUGGCGAAGGCGGCUCUCUGGUCUGUAACUGACGCUGAGCUC
rnacentral:rRNA from 1 species